UACAGAGGUCCCAAGCGUUGUUCGGAUUCACUGGGCGUAAAGGGUGCGUAGGUGGCGGGGUAAGUUUGAUGUGAAAUCUCCGAGCUUAACUCGGAAACUGCAUUGAAUACUAUCCUGCUCGAGGUUUGGAAGGGGGACUGGAAUUCUCGGUGUAGCAGUGAAAUGCGUAGAUAUCGAGAGGAACACCAGUGGCGAAGGCGAGUCCCUGGACAACACCUGACACUGAGGCACGAAAGCUAGGGGAGCAAACAGG
rnacentral:rRNA from 1 species